CAGUAGCCGCGGUAAUACAGAGGGUGCGAGCGUUAAUCGGAUUUACUGGGCGUAAAGCGUGCGUAGGCGGCUUUUUAAGUCGGAUGUGAAAUCCCUGAGCUUAACUUAGGAAUUGCAUUCGAUACUGGGAAGCUAGAGUAUGGGAGAGGAUGGUAGAAUUCCAGGUGUAGCGGUGAAAUGCGUAGAGAUCUGGAGGAAUACCGAUGGCGAAGGCAGCCAUCUGGCCUAAUACUGACGCUGAGGUACGAAAGCAUGGGGAGCAAACAGGAUUAGAUACCCGCGUAGUCCCUGUCUCUUAUAU
rnacentral:rRNA from 1 species